AUUGAACGCUGGCGGCAUGCUUUACACAUGCAGGUCGAACGGCAGCGCGGGGCAACCUGGCGGCGAGUGGCGAACGGGUGAGUAAUAUAUCGGAACGUACCCAGAAGUGGGGGAUAACGUAGCGAAAGUUACGCUAAUACCGCAUACGAUCUACGGAUGAAAGUGGGGGACCUUCGGGCCUCAUGCUUGUGGAGCGGCCGAUAUCUGAUUAGCUAGUUGGUGAGGUAAAGGCUCACCAAGGCGACGAUCAGUAGCUGGUCUGAGAGGACGACCAGCCACACUGGGACUGAGACACGGCCCAGACUCCUACGGGAGGCAGCAGUGGGGAAUUUUGGACAAUGGGGGCAAGCCUGAUCCAGCAAUGCCGCGUGAGUGAAGAAGGCCUUCGGGUUGUAAAGCUCUUUUGUCAGGGAAGAAACGGGACUGGUUAAUACCUGGUCCUAAUGACGGUACCUGAAGAAUAAGCACCGGCUAACUACGUGCCAGCCGCCGCCGUAAUAC
rnacentral:rRNA from 1 species